rnacentral:piRNA from 1 species
GUAGAAGACAGAAACAGAUAGUAAACUUAA